UACGUAGGGUGCGAGCGUUGUCCGGAAUUAUUGGGCGUAAAGGGCUCGUAGGCGGUUUGUCGCGUCGGGAGUGAAAACCUCGGGCUUAACUCGGGGCUUGCUUUCGAUACGGGCAGACUAGAGGUAUGCAGGGGAGAACGGAAUUCCUGGUGUAGCGGUGAAAUGCGCAGAUAUCAGGAGGAACACCGGUGGCGAAGGCGGUUCUCUGGGCCUUACCUGACGCUGAGGAGCGAAAGCGUGGGGAGCGAACAGG
rnacentral:rRNA from 1 species